UUUCCCUCAGGAUAGCUGGCACUCGCUCGAGCGAGUCUCAUCUGGUAAAGCGAAUGAUUAGAGGCCUUGGGGCCGAAACGACCUCAACCUAUUCUCAAACUUUAAAUGGGUGAGAUCUCUGGCUUGCUUGAACGUUGAAGCCACGAGAUUACGGAUCAGAGUGCCAAGUGGGCCAAUUUUGGUAAGCAGAACUGGCGCUGUGGGA
rnacentral:rRNA from 1 species